rnacentral:lncRNA from 1 species
ACGGUUAGAUCUGGGCUCAAUUCAGCUGACGGAUCAAUGUAACUCGCAGUUCUGUUGGUAAUAUACUAUGUUUUAAAAUUAUUUUAGCUUUAUUUCUAUGUUCAUAUAAUGAAUAAGACUUUCAUGUUGCUGUCUUGCUCAUAUUUGUAAUCAGCAGAUCUGUUGUUGAUAUCUGCUUUUUAUGAAAUUGUUAAUGUUUUUUAGUUUUUUGCAGGAUAAAGAAAUGGCUUCUGCUGACAAUUCGUUGCAGUUUACGCUCUUUUUAUGGUAUCUAUCCUCGUCAUGGUGUCCGAGCAGAGACAUCUAUUCUUGUUGAUGCUCAAGGCCCGAAAUCAUUUGCGGAUGCUGGAUGAUGGACUUAGAAAGGAUAAAAAUUCUGUCUACAUGGAUACAAGGUUCUAACAUGUUUAAUGGCUUUCAUAAUUAUGAUUCAUUUAAUGUUAAUUCGAAAAAAUGAGCUAGAAGUAGUUGUGACAAGAUAUUUAGAAAAGAGAGGCUAUGUGUAAGAAAAGAGUGGCUUAUGUUCGUCUCGCCGACCUUUGCCAUGUCGGGUGCGCUCACAUGGCAGGUCAAAAGCUCAAUAAAAUACAUAAUAUUUUUGAUUUUGAGGAGAGAUGGUACGGGGAUUUUUGCCCGGCUCUCUCCGCGUGUGGUGUCUUUUUAUUCUUUUCCUUUCUCUCCUCGUUCUCGUUUCUAUUGCUGCGAUAAUUUUAUUUCUGUUUGGUCCUUGAAUGGGUUGGGGCCUUUUCCUGUGUUACAAAGAUGUCAUGAAACCCGUUCAAGGAUAAAGCAUAAUUUAUUUUUUUCCCGGAGCAAAGUCACCAGUAAGUCGCCAAUGCCAGAAUGGGUCUUCUCAAGUAUCAACGAUUUCCCAAGGUACAAUGUUAGAUAUUUAUUAGCUAGCAUCUGAUUGAUUAAAAACAUUUCAAACUUACAAUUGUUUAGCCAUUCCAUCUCAUAUUAAAGUUGAGCGGUUAGAUAGGAAAGCUAUGUCUGCAAAAAUUAGGCUUUAUUUUGUGUUUCAAGAUUUAGCAGUUUUUGAUAAAAAGUUUGUUAAAAUGUGGAGAACAUAAACGCUGCUUGUCCCGAGAUGUUUUUGAUAAACUUUCAGCCAUGAUAUUUUUUAUUAAACAAGCUACAUAUUAACUUGCUUAAUAUAUUGGUAUUUUCUUGACCAUGUACCCAACUUCUUGCAAUCUCAUGAUUUGAUGGGUAACUUCUCGGAAUAUCCUUACUAUCUUGGAUUUUGGGUAAACACUCAAUUGAAAGCUUAAGAAUUUUUGAAUGGUGAUCAUUUAUUUCGUCCAUCUAUAAUUAAAUACCAUUCCUGAAUUUGCCGAAGAAUAGAAAGGCUCAAAUCAAUUUGUUGUCAUAAUGUUUUGGUGAACGUCAAACAUGGUUAUUUGGCAAAUCCAAUUUUACCGGAGAUAUCAUAAAUAUGUUUCACAUGUAAUUUACAUAUGGCAAUGUUAACAAAAUUAUCUUAUCUACUAUCCCGAUCCUGAAUUCGUAACAUUCACUAUGAAGAUCAAUCCUGAGCAACUAACAAUUUUCGCUUCAAUUCAGUUGUAUAGUACAAAGUACGAGCGGAAUUUAUUGCUUGUUGUAGCUUUAUUUUUCCUGGUCCUAUACAUAUAUGAAUCUUAUUCGUACUGUUUUUUACCUGGUGUUGAAUUUAUUUUGUCAUUCUUGGGUCAUUAUCCUGCUGGAGUGUAUUGUAGAUUUAUUGGUAUUGACCAGAAGCCUUCUUUCUGUAAUGUAAUUGAAGGCCAUUACGCAUGGUAUGUAGAUGAGGAAUGCAGAUCUUUUUGAUUUAUACACUAGAUCAGCGUUUCUCCAUUUUCCUUCCAUGGGAAAAUGUUUGCAACUUUUUGUGUCAUGUUGGUUUGGAUUGCCUCACGGAGUGGAAAUACAUGAAGAUGAUCCUGUUUGUUUUUGCUGUUGAUCCGCUGCUGCUGCCUCUGCCUCUGCCUCUGCCUCUGCCUCUGCUGCUGCUGCUGCUGCUAUUGCUAAACUUGAUACUUCAAGAUGCCUCAUCCUUCAAAGCAUCUAGAACCUGUGGAUUGCGAUGAAUGUUUGUGAUAUAUCUCAUUUAAUGCUUGUGCCAUGUUCAUUCCUUUGUGCUGUCCCUGCAAACUUGCUGAAGGUGCGUGCUGCUGCUGCUUGAUAUCUAUGAUUUGGCCAGUCCUGUGUUACAAUAUGCACAGGCUGAUCAUCAAAAUUCUUCACUCUUGAUACUGUUUUAGUGAACUGUUAAUCCUAUAAACGAUGCUAUUUGUUGAGUUCCUCAUUCACAAACUGGUGGCCAUAAAUGGUGUUAAUGUUCAUGACGGUUGUUGAUAUGGAUCUUGUAUCGCUUUGCUUCUGCACUAUAAGUUGUUUAUGUCGAUAAUUAUUCGAGGCGGUUGAUCAGUUACAGUUAUUUGAUGUAGUUCAUGGUAAUGGUAAUGGAUUUUUUUAGUGGAUUUAAUUGCGAUUUUUUUAGCGUUUAAUGUCUUAAUUUCUAUCUUAUGUUUUUGUAGGUGGACUUGGGAUCUAUUUCGUUGUGUUUAUAGGGAUGAACAUUAGCCUUGGGAGAAAGUUAAGUGAGGUACAUGUCCAAGGCGCUGUUUUAAAACCACUGUAAGUGGGAAUACAUUUAUAAUUGUAUUUACAAGUAAUAUAUAGUCGAGAAAUUUGCGUGUUGAGGUUUUGAUUAUUUUAUGUAUUUAGAGGAGAAAAUAAGCUAUGAAUGUUUAGUAGUUUUCCUUAUCCCUAAGAACUGUCGACCAAACAUACACUGCCUUGAGGCGGGUACCUGCUCGAUGCGUAUCUCAAAUUGCGUUGUCACAUUUAGCUUUAAAUUUUGAAUUUCGGCAGAAUUCUGAUGUGGAAAUCAAUUUUGCAACUGAGCUUGGUUUUUCGAUUAAUUUGGGACGAAAACGGAAUUUCAGUGUUGGUCCAGUUAAAAUUCUAUUAAUUUUGCAAACUGCUUUUUUUAAUUAAUGAAUUUUUUAGUUUUAUAUUAACUGAACUAAGC